rnacentral:snRNA from 1 species
AUAUUUACCUGGUAAGGGAAAUAUCGUGACCGAGCAGGUGGUUUCCCCAGGGCGCGGCUCGCCCCUGCCCUGUGCGGGACUGCUGAUCCCUGCGAUUUCCCCAAACGCGGGGAACUCGAGUGCGCAAUUUGUGGUAGUGGGGCUGCGCCCGUGCUCUUCCCCC